AUGAGCGGCGCCGCCUCGCUGGGGCUGCGCACGGGGAGCUGCGGCUCCCUGCCCGCGGCGGGCGCGGGCGCCGGCGCCGCCGUCCCCGUCGGGAGGAAAGCCCGGGGCUGGGGCCUGCGCGCCGGCGCCGGCGCCGGCGGCGGGGACAAGGAGCGCCUGCAGCUGCUGCACCGCGCGCUGCGCCUCGUCGGCCGCCGCGGGGCCGGACUGCUCCUGCUGCUCGCCGUCGCCUCCGCCGCGCUCUUCUGCUCCCUCUUCGCCGUCGUCAAAGAUGACAACACUUCUUCAAUUAUCAUUGCUAGCAACUACGAAGUCACCAAUGCCAUCCAGAAUUCUGUAUACCCCAGCACAACAAGGCCUCUUAUGAUGUCCAAUGACCACAACAAAUUCGAGCAUCCAAAUCGGCUUCAUCUUUCACCUGGAAACUUCACAAAUCAUCCUUGUGAAGGUUUCGCAGUUCCUCCUAUCCUGUUUGAUAAGAAACGCACUGGGCCUCGACCAUGCCCUGUUUGCUAUGUCUCGGUAGAUCAGGCAUUUGCUCUGAUGCCUCUACAAGCUUCGCCAUCUCCUGUCCUUGAAAACUUAGAUUAUGCCUUGGAAGACAGCGUCACAGCAAAUUUCUCAAAUCCGGGCUCUGCAUUUGGAGGGCAUCUAUCUCUGGAGCAGAGAAAUAAAUCUUUUGACAUUACCAAUUCGAUGACUGUCCACUGUGGAUUUGUUAGAGGAAAGAAACCUGGCCAAGGUACCGGAUUUGACAUCAGUGAUGAUGAUCUGCUAGAAAUGGAGCAAUGCCGUGAGCUUGUUGUAGCUUCCGCCAUUUUCGGGAACUAUGAUAUGAUUCAACAUCCAAGGAAUGUCAGUGAAUUGUCAAAGGCAAAUGCGUGUUUUUAUAUGUUUGUAGACGAAGAAACAAUGGCUUAUGUCAAGAAUUCCAGCUCACUGUACAAAGAUAAUAAAGUUGGCUUAUGGAGGCUAGUGGUUGUCCGAAACCUCCCUUAUGAAGAUCCAAGGCGCACGGGGAAGAUUCCCAAGCUUCUGCUCCAUAGGCUAUUUCCAAAUGUAAGAUUUUCAGUUUGGAUAGACGCAAAGCUUCAGCUUGUUGUGGAUCCUUAUUUACUGCUUGAGAGGUUUCUGUGGAGAAAGAAUUCUAGUUUUGCGAUAUCUCGGCACUACAGACGUUUUGAUGUGUAUGAAGAAGCAGAAGCUAAUAAAGCUGCUGGAAAGUAUGACAAUGCAUCAAUCGAUGAACAAAUAGAUUUUUACAGAAAUGAGGGCCUAACACAUUAUUCUCCCGCCAAGCUUCCUAUCACAAGUGACGUCCCAGAAGGCUGUGUGAUCAUCAGAGAACACGUCCCUAUCUCGAACCUCUUCACAUGUCUUUGGUUCAAUGAAGUUGACCGUUUCACCGCCAGGGAUCAAAUUAGCUUCAGCACCGUCCGGGACAAAAUAAGGGCUAAAGUCGGCUGGAUGCCCCAGAUGUUCCUGGACUGCGAAAGGCGCAACUUUGUUGUCCAGGCAUACCACAGGGAGCUGCUAGAGCAGAUGAUUGCGUCCGGCAGGAACACGCCUCCGAUCGCGGUCGAACCAUCUCGGAAAAUCAGACCAGGUAGCAGCAGGAGAGCUCCCCCGUCGAAGAAGCCUGUCGUGAGGCGGAAAAAGGAGAAGAAAUCGAGCUCGCGGAGGCGGGCCGCGAAGCCGGUUACCUGGGCGAUGGAUGCUGGGUGA
rnacentral:rRNA from 1 species